UACGUAGGGUGCAAGCGUUAAUCGGAAUUACUGGGCGUAAAGGGCGCGUAGGCGGCCGCUUGCGUCGGAUGUGAAAGCCCGGGGCUCAACCCCGGAACGGCAUCCGAUACGGGGCGGCUCGAGACCGAGAGAGGUGAGUGGAAUACCCAGUGUAGAGGUGAAAUUCGUAGAUAUUGGGUGGAACACCGGUGGCGAAAGCGGCUCACUGGCUCGGUUCUGACGCUGAGGCGCGAAAGCGUGGGGAGCAAACAGG
rnacentral:rRNA from 1 species